rnacentral:rRNA from 1 species
UACGAAGGAUCCAAGCGUUGUCCGGAUUUACUGGGUUUAAAGGGUGCGUAGGCGGAUGAUUAAGUCAGUGGUGAAAGCCUGCAGCUUAACUGUAGAAUUGCCAUUGAAACUGAUCGUCUCGAAUGUGGUUGAGGUAACUGGAAUGUUGCAUGUAGCGGUGAAAUGCUUAGAUAUGCAACAGAACACCAAUUGCGAAGGCAGGUUACUAAGCCAUUAUUGACGCUGAGGCACGAAAGCGUGGGGAUCAAACAGGAUUAGAUACCCUGGUAGUCCACGCCCUAAACUUUGCAUACUCGGUCUUAGCGAUACACUGUUAGGACCCAAGCGAAAGCGUUAAGUAUGCCACCUGGGAAGUACGAUCGCAAGAUUGAA